UACGGGGGGGGGCAAGCGUUGUUCGGAUUCAUUGGGCGUAAAGGGUGCGUAGGCGGCGCGGUAAGUCGGGUGUGAAAUCUCGGAGCUUAACUCCGAAACUGCAUUCGAUACUGCCGUGCUUGAGGACUGGAGAGGAGACUGGAAUUUACGGUGUAGCGGUGAAAUGCGUAGAUAUCGUAAGGAAGACCAGUGGCGAAGGCGGGUCUCUGGACAGUUCCUGACGCUGAGGCACGAAGGCCAGGGGGAGCAAACGGG
rnacentral:rRNA from 1 species